rnacentral:rRNA from 1 species
UCUAGAUUAGAGUUUGAUCCUGGCUCAGGACGAACGCUGGCGGCAUGCCUAAUACAUGCAAGUCGAGCGGAUCUUGUUAGUAGCUUGCUACUAACUUGGUUAGCGGCGGACGGGUGAGUAACACGUAGGCAACCUGCCCUUAAGAUCGGGAUAACAUUCGGAAACGAAUGCUAAGACCGGAUAAACAAUUUGGCUGCAUGGCUAAAUUGGGAAACGCGGAGCAAUCUGCGGCUUAGGGAUGGGCCUGCGGCGCAUUAGCUAGUUGGUGGGGUAAAGGCUCACCAAGGCGACGAUGCGUAGCCGACCUGAGAGGGUGAACGGCCACACUGGGACUGAGACACGGCCCAGACUCCUACGGGAGGCAGCAGUAGGGAAUCUUCCACAAUGGGCGAAAGCCUGAUGGAGCAAUGCCGCGUGAGUGAGGAAGGUUUUCGGGUCGUAAAGCUCUGUUGCCAGGGAAGAAUAAGGAUGAGAGUAACUGCUCAUUCGAUGACGGUACCUGAGAAGAAAGCCCCGGCUAACUACGUGCCAGCAGCCGCGGUAAUACGUAGGGGGCAAGCGUUGUCCGGAAUUAUUGGGCGUAAAGCGCGCGCAGGCGGUUCUUUAAGUCUGGUGUCUAAGUGCGGGGCUCAACCCCGUGAUGCACUGGAAACUGGGGAACUUGAGUGCAGAAGAGGAAAGCGGAAUUCCGCGUGUAGCGGUGAAAUGCGUAGAGAUGUGGAGGAACACCAGUGGCGAAAGCGGCUUUCUGGACUGUAACUGACGCUGAGGCGCGAAAGCGUGGGGAACAAACAGGAUUAGAUACCCUGGUAGUCCACGCUGUAAACGAUGAGUGCUAGUGUUGGGGGUAUCAUGCCCUCGGUGCCGAAGUUAACACAUUAAGCACUCCGCCUGGGGAGUACGGUCGCAAGACUGAAACUCAAAGGAAUUGA